UACGGAGGAUGCAAGCGUUAUCCGGAAUGACUGGGCGUAAAGGGUGCGUAGGUGGUUUGGCAAGUUGGUAGCGUAAUCCCGGGGCUCAACCUCGGUGCUACUACCAAAACUGUUGAACUUGAGUGCAGGAGGGGUGAAUGGAAUUCCCAGUGUAGCGGUGGAAUGCGUAGAUAUUGGGAAGAACACCAGCGGCGAAGGCGGUCUGCUGGACAGUAACUGACGGUGAGGCGCGAAAGCGUGGGGAGCAAACAGG
rnacentral:rRNA from 1 species